rnacentral:rRNA from 1 species
UACGAAGGGGGCUAGCGUUGCUCGGAAUCACUGGGCGUAAAGGGCGCGUAGGCGGCCGAUCAAGUCGGAGGUGAAAGCCCAGGGCUCAACCCUGGAAUGGCCUUCGAUACUGGUUGGCUCGAGACCGGAAGAGGUAAGUGGAACUGCGAGUGUAGAGGUGAAAUUCGUAGAUAUUCGGAAGAACACCAGUGGCGAAGGCGGCUCACUGGUCCGGUACUGACGCUGAGGUGCGAAAGCGUGGGGAGCAAACAGG